CUUCCAGUAGCACCUUAGAGACCAACUAAGUUUGUUAUUGGUAUAAGCUUACGUGUGCGUGCACAUGAAAGCUCAUACCAAUAACAAACUUAGUUGGUCUCUAAGGUGCUACUGGAAG